rnacentral:lncRNA from 1 species
UUGAUAUAGAAAAUGAGAAAAAAGGCAAGAUGACCAGAAGAUACUGACAGAAAAAAAUUUAAGAAGCAGCACCAUUAGUGGAAGCCAAUAAGCCUUUCCAUUGCUCCUGGAGAGCUGGUCCCAGAGACGCCUACUAACUGGAUGGAAGGCAAGCAGCUGUGAGCUGUCUCUUUUAGCACCUGACCUUCCUGGCUUGGCUAAGGUUUCCUUUGGACAGACCUCAUGUUCUUCAUCCCUGUACUAUAUACUCUCUCCCACCCUGGCUACCUUUAGAGUCAUUCAAUCAUUCAACCAAUAUUUUUAAUCUAAUAUGUGACCAACAUUGUUUCAGGUGCAGAAGAAAAAAAUAGAUGAAACUCCCACUCUCAAAGAGCUAAUAAGGAAGACAGAUGGAACACAAAUAUGUAUAUACAUACCUAAGGAAAGCACAGCUUACUUUCUUCCAUUUGUCACUUUGCAGUUAAUGCUACAGCAAUUCUAAAUUCCUUGCACAUGAAGUUUAAUCCUCUAAAU